rnacentral:rRNA from 1 species
GAUCAUGGCUCAGGAUGAACGCUAGCUACAGGCUUAACACAUGCAAGUCGAGGGGCAGCAUGAUUGAAGCUUGCUUCAAUUGAUGGCGACCGGCGCACGGGUGAGUAACACGUAUCCAACCUGCCGAUAACUCUGGGAUAGCCUUUCGAAAGAAAGAUCAAUACCCGAUAGUAUAGUAUUUCCGCAUGGUUUCACUAUUAAAGAAUUUCGGUUAUCGAUGGGGAUGCGUU